CCAAGUCUAUCCUAUCCGCGCCCUCGUAGUUGACGCAGCCUCGGCAGACGGGCUCGGAAAAGUCCAUUAUCAUCGCCCAGGGCAUUCUGGGAAGAUCGCAGAGGUAACACUGCGUGCGUUUUCCCAUCAUCUUUGGGUCCUUUUUUCUGAGGUCGUGGUCUGCAGUCGUCGCGACGCCCCGCGUGCUGUCGUACACGCUCGUGACGUCACGGUCGCCCAGGAGAGGACAGACUGUUAGAAUGCGGUAUAAUGCGAACACCGUCAGCACACCCAGUACGAAACACAUCACGCCGUCGCUCUAUAGUUUGUGCCUCGGUCAAUACCACGCGUUCAGCUAUGCACUGCGCAUUAAAGAGAAAAAAUUUUCCACAUAUAUUUUUUUUUUUUUCUUUCAUUUUUAUUUAUAAAAAUUUUUUUUCAAUCGUCCAUUUUCUUUUCCUCAAACGAAAAUAGAAGCUCCGUAUCUUACGUAAAUACGUGCGUAUCUAUAUCUAUUUACUCUAUGGGUGAGGUUUACUCUAAGGCACGUUUUCAAAUGACCUCCUCCGCCUACGAUUUUUAUUUGAUUUCUGAUGGAGCUGAUUAAUGUUAGAUGUGUAUGGUAUACAAACAUGUUUGACUGAAAUUGUCAUAGACAUGAUCAAAGACUGGAGGGGGUAAAAUGAGUGGGUUGGGUAAUUUUGAUUUUUUUUUUUUAAGCAAUAUCAUCAUGCGAUAAUACGUUACAGUGUACAAAACGUUAUACAGCUGUGCAGAACGGAUAGCGUGAAUUCUAUCAAUUUUACACAGACGGAGCACAAGAGCGCACAACGACCGCGGGUUGUUUAUCAAUUUUACUUUUUUCAUAAUCGAAACAGCAAUAGAAAUGGAGGGAGAAUGACGACGAUUGUAACGUAAGUUAUAACUAUUCGAAGGAUGGUACAGGUCUCGUGCUGCAGUACGAAUAAUAAAUAGGGGAAGCCUUGUGACGAAUUUUCAUGGAAAUGCAGUAGGCAUAUAAUUAUUAUACUCGUCAUGGGUGAUGGUCGUCUACGGGUCUUCAGGUCUACUGGCCAAGUGACCCUGCUGCUUCUUCUGCCACGGAAUAUGCGGCGUGCCGACCGUGUGCCUGCAGCAACGUGAAACGUGCUUUUGCCGUGAUGCGGAGAGAAAAAUAAAAAAUAAAGAAAAUAAAAGACCGAGAGAGGGUGAAACGAAGUCUGCUGCAGCGUGCAGAGGUAUAACGUGAUUGGUCAGACGUUUGUAAUACGGCAUGUCGUCGGUGGGACUGACGAUGUGGUUGCUUUUAUACAUUUAUUGCGUAUGUCCGGGCAGGUGGCUUGUGUAUACGUACAUACGCACGCAUUCGUUUGUUAUAAUUGUUUUCGCUUCGACGAAGGGCAUCGCCUCGACGUCCCACUUUGCCCGCAACGCACGUUUAAAAUUUGCAGACUAUUAAAAAGAAAAAGAAAAUUAAGAAACCUUUGCUUCCAAGCGGCAUUAAAUUAUUCCCAUUUACCAUACUAUAUGAAUUAACGCGUGAAAAGUUAUUUAAAAUAAAUUUGUUCCAUUAUAUUCAUUUUGUACGUUCGGUAAAUCUCCAUAUAUACCAAAGGCACUCGGGUACAGUGAUAUUGGGAUAGGUCAACGUAGUUGCAGCAAAAUUUUUUCCUUUUUCUAUUCGUGUUAUAUAUUUGAAGCAAGUUUCGUGACUCGAAGCUCGUUGCUGCGAUAUCAAGUCGUAUCCGGACACAAUGUAUGAUAACAAUGCAUUCGUCAGGUGAUGCGGGAGGAGGUUCUCCUUCAGGUUUAUGUUAUUUGAUUUUAUUCUCCCAUUUUCAUUUCUCUGUUAUGUAUAUUCAUAUCUACAUACAUAUACGUAUAUCGUUAUUUCCGAGAAGUUUAUUCGCUAUCGACACGGCAAACCAAGUAGAUCCUCGAGUUGCAUAUUGCACUGUGGGAUAAUUGUAGAAUUGCGUGACUAAGCUUUUUAUAUAUAUAUACUUAUUAUCUGUAUGUGUACUAUACAGGUAAAAUGCAAAGCUGGAGACUAUACACACCUAUGUAGACGCGUAUCGCGUAUACGCUCUCAGACAUUAUAUACGCACUUUAUUCACGUGUAUCAACCACAUGCACUGCAAGUAUAAAAGCAGGGCGUUACACACGUUCGCGUACCUUAUACCAGAGACUUUAUGAACGUACAUACGUAUGUAUAUGGGUGGGUUAUAACGUACUAUAUGUAGGGCGGAGCGAAACGCUUUCAACGCAACGUUGCGUGCACAACGUCGGAGCCAGGGUAUAUGUAUAUAUUUACACCUACCAUACAGAUCGCGUGUAGCACGAAUAUAAUCCCUGUUCCUGAUCCUGAUCCUGAUCAUGAUCCUGGUUGCCCUUUAGUUAACUACCUUCACCCACGAACCUGCAGACACGGGUACAACUUCCAACUCUCCUUUCAUUUUUACAAUUCUCCAUGCUUGUGUAUUACAUGUGUGAAAGUACAUAUUUCAUACGUAUAUAUUUCAGAUUAUACGUGUACACGUAUAAAUGGAUAUAUAUAUAUAUAUUUUUUUUUUUUUAUUUCAACGGCCACGUACGCCGCCAUAUUUGAUCCAUAUAUCGGCAAGGCAUUUAAUGGCGAGAGAAUUUUUUCGUUCUCUGAUCCACUCACUUUUUUCUUUUCUACCUUCCUCCAGGAAUUUUGCACGGGUAUUUUUAUACUACGAUUGUAAGGCGUAUAAUUUUUCUUCUUUUGUGUGCUUCGUGCUUCUUUGUCGCAUUCAUUUAUUCAUCUUUUUCUUUUCGCAGUUAUCGCCUGCACGCGUUACGGUUACAUACAUCGUCCGUUUCCGUCUCGCGGUAUCAUCGUACAACUAUAUAAACAACGAUCUAAAAUUAAUAUAUUCAUUCCUCUCUCCGAUGUCCGUGACUCCAUCCAGUUCGUCCUUCGGGAGUUCAAGCAAAGAUAUGUCGGUUACGCGUGUAGGUAUAUACGUACAUUCGUAUUACCUAUAUACAUUUGCACAUCAAUAUCAUACAUACGGUGGAAACGAAUGUCUUCCCGGAAUUUUUGUUUCCUUAUAUGCCCAUUUUCUUCAUAUUACAUCUGUGGUUGAAAAAAUUAUCAGGAAGUAAUAUAUGUCUGAAAAAUAAUAUUGUCACUGCGACAUGGAGUUAAAAAAUCAGGUACUUCGGCGUGAUACUAUUACAGACAUUUGCAGGAUCGGGAUCUGAUGGAGUCGCAGACGAGUCACUGCUGUCGAGGCAACGAACCGAUCAUCGAGAUUGAUAGGAAAUGCCCGCAGGGGUUUCUCUCACUAUUUCCCGUUAUUUCUUCGACUAUAAUUCACGUACAUAUGUAUGGGAGCGAUCGACGCGAACGGAGGGACGUCUGGAGACCAAGUGACGCAUCCCAUCGAAUUUCACUUUUCUUUGUUUCCUAUGGGGCUGUUGGUAUCCACGGACACCUUGCACUAGGCGUCGUCGUUCACUGUGGCGAACCGUACGUGAAAAAUUAGAAAAUACAAAAGAAACGGACGAAAACGCAACAGAAAAAAAAAAAAAAAAAAAUUGGAAUGAUCGUAGCGGAGAAAAGUUUUAUCCGCAUAUCGCAAAACUAAUAUCGGUGUACGGACGUACACGUCUGUAUCAUCUAUAGCUUGAUAUUUGCAUACGUAGGAUCUGCAGAGAAAAUUCUGUAUUCGCGUAUGCGAUAGGAUGUAGAGACCAACUCAAUGUUCGUGUAUUGCAACCUAUACAUACCUAUGCAGUCGUAUCAGCGGUCAAAAACAUGGGGGAGUUGAAGAGGAAAAGAGAAAACGGUAGGGAAAAAAAAUGGAAGAGAAAAGGGAAAAAAUAAAAAGUUGGAGGAAAACGCUACCUACUUCGCAGAUAUUUUACGGAAACUGUACUACUACACCCCGUUGGCGUAACUCUUGAAUACCGACUAGUCCGGUACGUGCAACGCAUUUGCAGACACUGAAACGUUACCUGAAUUUCCAAUCUCGUCAUUUUACCGCCGAUCCUCUUAAUUGACCAACUUCACAGCUUGUGUAUGUAGGUAUACCUAUUAUAUCCCGCGCGAUAUUCGUACAAUUGUAUCAUACCCAUUCUCGGAUUAGUGCUAUCGACCUGUAACGCUAUUUAUCUCCAUUUUCGACUCCGAACACGUGUACACACCCAUCUUUUUUUUAUAUAAUUAUAUUCUUGUUUGUUUCUUUGCUAUUCGAAUUUAAAAAAUUUGAUCAUUUUUUUUUCCUGUCGGCUCAGUU